rnacentral:tRNA from 1 species
AGGAGAAUAGCUCAAUUGGUUAGAGCUUUGGUUUUCAAAACCAAUGGUUGCGGGUUCAAGUCCUUCUUCUCCUG